rfam:Fukomys damarensis contig142447, whole genome shotgun sequence.
GGAUAUGAGGGUGAUCUAACUGUGACAUCUGUCACCUCAUUGAUCACCAGGGUUGAUAUGGCUGAUCUGGCUGGCUAGGAUGGUAUCCCCUUCCUCCUUCACUAUUCCAUGUUUGACCUUCCUGAAGUUGAAGAGGAUGACCACCCUAGAUAGAGUAGCACAAGUUCCUUGGUCAAGGUUAUAGGACUAGCUGUGCCUGAACCUCCAAACAAGCUCUAGGACAUAACUAUUAGAAUUCAGACAAUAAUUCUACUAACAAUUAUUUUGUGGUAUGACAAGAAUAUACGCUCUCAGU